CCUACGGGAGGCAGCAGUGAGGAAUAUUGGUCAAUGGGCGCGAGCCUGAACCAGCCAAGUCGCGUGAGGGAGGACGGCCCUACGGGUUGUAAACCUCUUUUGCCGGGGAGCAACGGGCGCCACGUGUGGCGCCACUGAGAGUACCCGGAGAAAAAGCAUCGGCUAACUCCGUGCCAGCAGCCGCGGUAAUACGGGGGAUGCGAGCGUUAUCCGGAUUUAUUGGUUUUAAAGGGUGCGUAGGCGGAUGGUUAAGUCAGUGGUAAAGUUGAGGGGCUAAAGCCCUUCCCGCCAUUGAAACUGGCGAUCUUGAGUGGAAGAGAAGUAUGCGGAAUGCGUGGUGUAGCGGUGAAAUGCAUAGAUAUCACGCAGAACCCCGAUUGCGAAGGCAGCAUGCCGGCUUCCGACUGACGCUGAAGCACGAAAGCGUGGGGAUCGAACAGGAUUAGAUACCCCUGUAGUC
rnacentral:rRNA from 1 species